ACAAAAUCCAAAAAAUCCUCUAAAUAAUUCCUGCAUCAGAACUCUACGAAAAUCGAGAGUGCUUGAAAUACUAUAAGAAAAGUGUUGCGUUCACGAUUCAAGCCUGAAUCCCUUUGAUGUUUCCGAAAUUUCUAAGAGAAGGAUGUGGCUCCAACGGAUCAAAUAGACUGCACGUGGAAACAGAAAACAGAAAGGAAUUCGGACCAGCAAACUCACCAGAUUGAAAUUACGUCGUAGCAGGGUCUGUUAGGUUGGAACAGGGUGAAGAUGGGACAUAACAGUUAUGCGGCAUGAAGGUUGCAAUUUCUGAAGGUUGAAGUGUGAAGGGAUUGAAGAGUAGUUGGAAAUGGAAGAAAGGGUCUGCAGAAUCGGGUUAUGGAUAUUUGGUGAAAGAAGAAGCUUUGGACAACGAAGAUUUGGUGCUUUGCAAAUGAAGAAAAUUGGAGUGUUUUGGCCAUGAAGAAGAAUGAAGGUGUUGAAGUUCUUGAGGAGGAAGAUUGAAGAGUGAACAGGAUGAUGGAGAGUGAAACAGAAUGGAGAUUGAACAGAAUGAAGCUUGAACAGAAUGAGGAUCGAGUUAUGUGUAUCUCAAAAGGGUUGAGGAUUUUGUUCGAGUGAGAUGGCGAGAAGGUUGGAAUGUUUCAAGUUCCGUUAUGCACUGUGGAAAUUAUAGAUUUUUGUUAUGCUCAGAAAUAUGAUUGGUUUCUUGUUACGUGAUGAACUUGGAGGUUGGUUAUACUCAAAUCCAAUUGAAAUUCAGGUUGAUGCAAUUGGGAACCCGCACGACAAGCAUACUGUCAUGCUGAAUUAUCUGAGGGAAUUGAUGUAUUAUGCUCACUGAUUUCGGCAUUGGCUUCAAUGGUGUCAAGGAACCCUUUGUCAGUUAAUCGUUUUUUUUUUUGCAUAUUUUGCAAGGCAUUGCAAUUUGGCGUGGCAGACCGGCUAUGGCCUGAUUGUGCAGCAGUUACUUCCCUGCUUGCUCACGUGAUAACGAUGCAUACCGACUCGGUCCGUGGUUUGCGGCGGCUUCUGGGUCAGCUGCGGGAUUAUGGUUCAAAACCUGUGGAUUGGGUUUCAAGACUCCAUAUCAUUUCAAACUUGUGUUGUUUCGGUUUCCAAAGCUCAAUUAUGGUGUAGCUUCUGGUUCAGUUUCAGAAUUGUGGUUCAGAACCUGUUCCAAUUAAGAGUUGGUUGUUUUUCUUCUUUAUGCAGGUAAAUUAUCCAUUUCGGUAGCACCAAAUCCACUAUGAAACAUGUCCUUCUGUUGCCAAGUAAAUGUUGGCAGGUUGGCAGGUUGGCAUGGCAAUGGCUUUGUCAAGGGAUUAAUGCCUUGGUUGGCAGCAUGGCAGCGAAGGAUUGGCUAACCAACUUGCUUAGGUUUUGAUGGUUCUAAUGAUUUGGACUAUGUAGAUUUAGUUUGGUAGGAUUGUCAUGACAUAGGUUUUGAAUCAAAAGUUAGAAAUUUAUGUCAUGAGCUUGUGUUGUUUUGGAUUUGAUUUAUAUGUAAGAUCAUGUAUUUGAACCUUGAAUGUGAAGUUGGUGAUUGAAUGAAAUGUUUUAGAAUUAGAAUGAAA